UUAUUAUUUUUAGCGACAAAGAAUUCGUCACUAAAGAGAACAUAUUGCUAAAAAAAAUUUUGCUUACCAAAAAAUUUUAACGGGAAAAAAUAUUAGCAAUGAAAAUAUAAGAUAUGUUUCUGUGUGUGUGUGUAAAACAUAUAUGGCAAAAGACCAAAACAUACACAAUCCCUAAUUCUCCUUUCUUAAUUUCUUGACUUCAUCUUCUCAAUUGUGAAAGAGAGAGAGAGAAUGACAUACACAUUCACUCAUACGCAAACACGCCCAUGAUAUAGCCAUUGCCGCCGCUAACAAUCACCCAUGCCCAUGUCCACGUCUGUUACUAUCGUUGUCGCUUUUGUUUGAGUGUGUCGACACUGCAGCUUCUAGCCGUUCUUGAUUUGCUUCCUCUUUCCAGUUGUUGUUGCUGCCUUUGGCUUCAUUUGCCAUUGUCAGCAAUGUAAGGUAAGGUUAUACAACUGAAUUUGAUAUGUGAUGCAAUAGGCUUGCACAUUAGGUUACUCUUGUGUGAUUCUUUUCACUGAACAAGUGUUAUCUUGUUUCCAUCUUUUAUCUUUUUAUAUACGUAGUUGUGUUUGUGGAUCUUGCUUGUGGAUGUGUUUGUGGAUCUUGCUUGUGGAUUGUUCUUUGGAUGAAAUGGGCGAUCUAGGUUGUUCUUGAUUUGCAUUUCGGAGGUGGGAUUUUGUUAUUUGGGAUUGAGUUGAGUUCUUGACGGAGCGACGUAGUGGAAGUGAAAUUGAUACGAUAGAUAACGCUAGAUGUCAUUCUAGUAACGGAGCAAGCCAAUGCGAUUAGGUACGCUCUAAUCGAAGUGUGAUUAGAUCUUAUUCAAAAUUGAGUGACUCAAUGAGAUUUUUUAAUAACGCAUUAAGCUCUAAUCCAAACAACUUUACAAGAGAUAUUCUUUAUAGAUAAUUCCACAAGAAAUUAUAAAAGAGGGGUUUUAUUAAUUAAUCAAAUGUUGAAGUUACAAUAAUAAGAUUUCUCUAUUUAUAAUAGAGAAAAUUUUCUUUCCUAAGUUAACUUAAAAAGGAAAAUUAAAUCACAAUUAUAAUAAAAAUAAAAGAGUAAGACACGUACCAUAAUUGACUCUAAUUAAAAUAAAAAAUCUUAAAAUAUAAAAAAUUUAAAAUCCUAAAUUAACAUCCUACAUCAGUUCUGCUAGGGUAUUGAUUAAGCUUUAGUUUUGUUUUUGUUACUUGUUUAUCUAAAAAUUCUUGAUCUUAGCUUGCUUUACACAAUAUUUUGAGUAAUUGUUUUUUUUUUUUGGUGGUGAUGGUAUUUUCGUUCUUAAUUAAACACUUUUAUAUGAUUAAGGUGUUAGAUCAUAGUUGGAUUAUCUUCAAUAGUGUUUACCAAGUAUUUUCUUAGACGAUUUUGUUGGAUCAUUAAUCCAACAUUUUUGGAUCCUUAAUCCAACAUUAGGCUUAUAUGUGAAUAAUUAUGUGUUGCGUACUAUCAUAUAAGGUUAAUCCCAAUUAAAAGUGAUUUAUUAAGGUUUUGAUAAUUUGAACCUUAAUGUAUUUGAUAAGGUUUGGGCCUUUAAUAUGAGGAGACUUAAUGAUAAUUUCUAUUUCUAUGAUGGGUUGAAAUAAAAGUACCAAAAGAUGAUAGUAAAAGUUAUCCACAUAAGUCCUUAUGGUCCCCAGGUCACACAUAUAUUUUUAUUCUCUAUUGACAUUCCAUCAUCAAUGAGAGUACAUGGAGAAGUUGAAAGGAUUCUCUAGGAGAAAAUGUUGAUCUGAAGGACAAACUACACAACUUUAGAGAACAAUUAAGCAUUAUGGAUUCAGGUACGGUUCUACAUAUCUGUUUAUUGAUUCUUGUUGAUACAAUAUGAAUGCUCUUGAAAUUUUGGUGAUGAUUUUUACCAAAGAAUUUAUUAUUCCAACAAGUGGUAUCAUAGCCUCUUCAUAUUGAAUCAUUGAGAAUCAAAUUUAUUUCCAAUUAAUGAUUAAAUCUUUAGUAUUUUUUAAUUUAAUUAUUCUAGUAUUAUUGAGUGUGAGAACAAUUGUAGUUGUUUUUAAGAAAAAAAAAAUUUAAAAAUUUGGAAUUAGAAAUAUAUAUAUAUAUAUAAGGAAAUUUGGUUUUUAAAAAUUGUGAAUAUAGGUCAGUGGCAGCCUCUGCCAUCACUAGUGUCAGCAUCAUUGGCCUAGGUUGUCCUUAUAGCGCUUCACAAUUUCAGCCGCGAUAGCUUGAGGAAAAGACGGUGGCCAUGGCCGCUGCACAAGGAAAAGGAAAAAAGAAGGAAAGUGGUUGAAUGGUCGGGCAAGGUUCGGCUGAACGAAUGAAAGCCGCAGCCACCAGACCAUGGCAGAUUGGUACAAGCAGCGGCCAUGGCCACCGCAUAAGGAAACAAUAUAAAAAAAAAAUAGGGCUUGAAAAAGAAAGGGGUUGGUUUAAGAUUCGAAUAGGUUUGACUCGACUCGAUUUAGGCACCAUGUCAAUAGUUGAUCAUUGACUUUGAAUGAAAUGUUUUUAGGGUAAUUUUGGUAGAAUUUUAAAUUCAAAGUAUUGGUACGUUUGGCGAAAUGUCGCUUCAAUUAAUUUAUCUUAAAAUAUACAAUCUGCAUAAGGCGCAGUUGGUUAUAUAUAUAUAUAUAUAUAUAUAUAUAUAUAUUAAUUGAAGCGACAUUUCGCUAAAGUGAACUCUCUUAUGAAAAUUGAUUUGUUUUUAAAUAUAAACAGUUAUGUGUAUAUAAUUUCUAUGAAUAUCGUAAGCCCCAAAGGAAGGUCCACAUUUGAUAGAAUUGCAUGUGCACUUGUGAUAGUAAAAAUGUGAUAAUAUUCGAUUUUACAUGUGAAUUGUAAAUCAGCCCAAAGGCAGAUUUAUUAUUUGAUGUGUACUUAUUAUUAGUAUUUAAUUACUACACCAAGAUAUCACUUACAAGUUAAUAUUUUGUCCAAAGAUGAAAUAUUAAAAGAGUUUCUGGUAUCUUGAGAUGAGGUAUGCCUUUAUUUGAAUUUAUUUUUGUUUCGAGACUUGCAUGAGCUUGUAUUGUUUGUUUGUUGUUUUCUAUUCAAUUAUAACUCCUAUUAAUAUUGCAGCCAACAACAAUUCUAUUACUAUACUAAAUGGCUCUCAUUUUAAGGCAUGGUAAGAGAACCUCUUUAUAGUUCUCGCAUACAUAGAUCUUAACCUUGUGUUAAGAGUUGGUUCUCCCUUACCACUUACUGAUGUGAGUACUUUUGAUAAUCAGAAGGAUUUGUAAAGAUGAGAGAAAUCAAAUCGCAUGUGUAUGAUAAUUAUGAAGAAGAUCAUUCUAGAUUCAUUUAGAGGCUCUAUGUCUGAAAAGAUAACUACAGCUAAGGAGUCCCUUGCAGACAUUAAGAAAUCAUUUGUCAAGAACGAAGGUAGAAAUAGGUACGCUCUUGACAAAUCUAAUUUCAAUAAGGUAUAAGAGCAAGGACAAGGCGGGAAAAAGAAGAAGGAUGAAGAAGCUGCAAAUACAACACCUCAAAAUAAACAACAAAAGAAACUAAAUAAUCUAGAAGGUACUAAUUGUUUCUUCUGUGGAGCUGAAGGGCAUAAGAAAAGGUAUUGUACCAAUUAUCAUGCAUGGCAUGCUAAGGAAGGUGUGCUUCUUAAUUUGGUUUUUUUUAGGUUAAUUUAACUUUAAUACAUAGACACACGUGGUGGAUAGAUUCUAGUGCAAAAACUCACAUCAGUAUAUCUAUGCAGGGUUGACUAAAUUGCCAGAAGCCUAGUGAUAGUGAAAGAUACAUCUAUAUGGACAAUGACAAGAUGAUUGAAGUUGAAGCAAUUAGAAUAUUUAGAUUUUUAUUAAAGAUUGAAUUUUAUAUAUAUCUUGAUGAAACAUUCAAUGUUUCGUCUUUUAGGUAAAAUUUGAUUUCCAUUUCUACUUUGGACAAAUCUGAUUUUUCUUGUUCAUUUAGAAAUGAAAAAUUCAAUUUGUUUCAUGAUUCAAAAUUGGUUAAUUCUGGUACUUUUUCAAGCUACAAUAAUCUUUAUUUGAUUGAUAUGAUUACUUCAUUUAAUGAAUCCUUGUAAUAUAGUACACGAGGUUCAAAGAGAAAACCAAUGAGAAUUCAGUUGUGUUAUAGCACAAGAGGUUAGGUCAAAUCUCCAAACAGAGAAUAAAAAGACUUGUGUCAGACAAAAUUCUUGACCCUUUGAUUUUUUAGAUUUUAAUGUUUGUAUUAACUGUAUAAAGUGGAAAUAAACCAAUAAAAGAAGAUUUUAUGCCAAAAGAACUUUGGAUGUCUUAGAACUUAUAUUUGUGGGUCAUUCUCUAUAGCUACUUAGAAUAGUCAACAAUAUUUUAUGAUGUUCAUAAAUGAUUUUUCUUGAUAUGAAUAUAUAUCUCUUCAAUGAAAAGUAGGAUAUGUUCAAAAAUUUUAAGGCUAAAAUUGAGAACUAACUUAAGAAAAGAAUUAAAAGCAUCAGAUUUGAUCGUGAUGGUUAAUAUUAGAUAUACGUUAUUGUCCUACAGUACACUACAUCGGGUUUGCCCACUAUGAAUGGUGUUGUUGAAAGACAAAAGAAGACGCUUAAGGACAUGGUGAAGAGUAUAAUUUCUCAUUUUACUUUACCAGAAUCACUCUGGGAAGAAGCACUUAAGACUACAACGUAUAUCCUUAACAGGGUUCCAACUAAAGCGACUGUCAAAACCCCUUACGAAAUUUAGAUGGGCAAUAAGUCUUGUCUAAAGCACUUGCAUGUUUGGGGAGGCAAGGCCUUAUAAGAAUAAUGAAAAAAAACUGUAUUCAAGAGUGGUGAGUUGCUAUUUUAUUAGACACUCUAAGGGAGUACAAGUUUUAUGAUCCCGCGACUAAGUUAAUUUUCAAGUCAGGAAAUGCUUAGUUCUUUGAGGAUGUUGAGUUCGUGGGAGAAGAUACAGUUAAGAACUUUGUCUUCGAAGAGGAAUACAUUGAUAUUUCCACAGGUCUUAUUGGCAUUGAUCAGGAUCUUAUUCCUAAUCUUAUUCAAGACACAAAAGAUCAUAACAGUAUUGAGAAACCCCCAUACAUGAAAUUAUUCCCAAAGAACAAACUCUUCCACUUCAAGAACUAUGCCAUUAAGGAGAUCCACUAGUGAAAAGAGAAGUGCAGUGCUAGAUGACUAUAUUGUAUUUCUCCAAGAACAUGGGCUUGACAUUAGAGUAAUGAAAGAUGAUAUAAUCAAUUUUCCUCAAGCCAUGGAAAGUUCUAACUCUCAGAAGUAGAUGUGAUGCUAUAAAUAAAGAGAUGAAGUCCAUAAAGGACAAAGACGUAUAAAAUCUAAUCGUAUUGCCAGAAAGUACGAAACUUAUUUGUUGCAAAUGGAUCUUUAAGACCAAGAGGGAGUUAAAAGACGAAGUGGGGAGGUACAAGGCCAGUCUUAUCGCAAAAGGCUUUAUAUAGAAAGAAGGCAUUGACUAUAAACAUUUCAAACUUAAGUUACAUCAAAUGGAUAUGAAGACAAUGUUUCUCAAUGGUGAAAUUGAUGAGACUAUCUAUAUAGUGCAGCUUGAAAACUUUGUGUCAAGAGACCCAAAUAAUAUAGCUUGCAAACUCAAGAAAUCUAUCUAUGGGCUUAAGCAAGUAUCUCGAUAAUGGUAUCUCAAGUUUCAUUAAGUAAUAAUCUCAUUCAGUUUCGAGAUGAAUUUGGUUGACAAUUGUAAGUAUAUUUUUCAUUAAGUAAUAAUAUUAUAAGUUCUGUGGGAGUAAGUAUAUUUUUCUGGUUUUAUAUGUCAAUGAAAUUUUUCUUGCUAACAACAAUAUAGGCUUAUUGCAUGAAACCAAGAUAUUUUCAGUUAAGAAUUUUAGAUUGGAAGACCUUGGUGACGCCUCUUUUGUAUUGCAGAUACAAAUACAUUAAGAUCACUCCCAAGAUUUUUCUAGAUUAUUAAAAAAUAGUUAUAUCAAAAAGUUUUUAAGAGAUAUGGCAUGCAAUAUUGCAAACAAGGUGAUACCACUAUGCCUAAGGAAGACAAGUUUAGUCUCAAUUAGUGCCCUAAGAAUGAUUUUGAGGAUAAGGAAAUGCAGAAAGUUCCUCAUGAGUUACUAGUAGGAAGUUUAAUGUAUGUUAUGCUUGACGCUACCGGCAUUGCAUAUGUUACUGGAAUGUUGAGUAGAUCUUUGAGUAAUCCAGAAGUAGACCAUUAGAAAGCAGCGAAACGGGGUCUUACAGUACUUACAGAGAAUAAAAGACUACAUGUUUAUAUAUUGGAGGUCAUAUUAGCUUGAGAUUGUUGGGUAUACUGACUUCGAUUUUGUUGGAUGUCAAGAUAGUAUGAAAUCCACUUAGGAUUAGCCCUAUCUGCUGUCUAAGGUAAUGUUACCUGGACGAGUACUAAACAUUCUCUUACAGCCUCUUUUGUUAGCCUAAAGGGCUACACAUAUUGUAAUUUUGAUGAUAGCAAACAUGUGUCUUAAAUGAUAUGAUAACUAUUGUAUUUCACAUAUUCACUAGUUCUUGAAGGAUGAUAUUUAUGCAAGUAAAUCUAGGGAAAUCAAGAUCAAGACACUCAACAAACAAUGGCUUGAUCAAUAACAAAGAUAGCUCAACAAAGUCAUUAUUGCGACAAAUUUUUGUGAAGCCAAUAUGAUUUCAUAUAUACAUGGUUUAGCAUUUGAGAAGUUCAAGAUUUUGUUUAAUAAAUAAUUAUUUUUCAUAAACCAAAAGGUUUUAUAUUUAUAAGACAAGUACUUUGUGGAUUUGAGUUUUUUCAAAUUUUGGAUUAAAUUGAAAAAGUUUUAAAAUCAAUAAGCAUUAUAAAAAGAACCUUUUUGAGAAGUAUUAUAAAGUUUUAGCUAUAGCAUAAUUUUAAAAAGUUUUGGGAAUAACGAGCAUCAUUUAGAAUUUCUGGGUUUGGACAUAUGUACAAAAAUAUAAAACAUUCUGGGCCAUAGCGUAAUUUUUAAAGGUUUUAGACCAUAUUUUAAGUUUUGGGCCAAAAGUAAAUAUAAAAAAUAUGGUAAAGUUAAAGGCUAGCCGGCAAUGGUUAGCGGCUAGCUGCUUGAGGCAAAUUGUCAAAUUUUCAAAGCCAAAAUUUAUAACAGCUACUUGGUGUUUUGUCUAUAACGAAUAGUUUUUGUAUCUAAACUAGAUAAAACUCAAAUCCAAUUCAUUUUUAAAGACUUUUACAAGCAUAAAAAAGUGAAAAUAACAUAUUUUGAGCUUCCAAUUCGCAAAUCAUCAUAGAUUAAAUCUUCAUUGAGCUAUUAUUUGUACAUUCACUUUAAAAGAGAGUAUUUGUUGUAAUUCUUGAAUUCAUUGUAAAAUUUGUGAGUGUGUAAGUGUGAGAAACACUUGAGUGAAAAGAUUGGGGAUAAUCUCUAGUUGUAAAGGUCCAUUGACACCUUGAAAUUCAAUUUUAAGCAUUUAAAGCAUUGGGAGGCUUGGAUAGUGAAAUUCUCAAGCGUGGUUUGCUUGGAGGCGUGGAUGUAGGUGGGGAUUGUCGAACCACGUAAAAAUAUUUGUGUUUGCACUCUCUUCCCUUACUAUUUUAUUAUUGAGCAUUGUUAAAUUUAUUAUUUUUUAUUUUAUUAAGGCAUUAGAUUAAAUUGUUGUGUUGUUUGCUUAGUUUAAUGUUUAAAAACUCAAUUCACGCCUUCUCUUGGGUUGCAUAACUAGUAUUUCAUUUGGUAUCAGAACUUGGUUCUCUUAUUAGGACUUACCCGUCAAGAGUAAAAGAUCCAUGGCAACCCAAAAUGACUCAACCUUUAAGGAAGGACAGUCCACAAUUAGACUGUAAACCUAGGAUGAGAUUUAUUUGCAAACUUUAGAUUAUGAAAUUUUGGAAGUUGUUUGUGAUGAUCUAUUCAUGCAUAUGACGAAAAAUGAAGUAGAAGAUGAUAUUCCAAAACCUUCAAGUCAAUGGAGUGAGUUAGAAAAGAAAAAGAUAUCUUUAAACUCCAAGACAAUGAAUGCUUUAUUUUGAGCUCUUGAUAAGAAAGAAUUUCAUAGAGUGUGUAGUUGUGAGAGUGCUCAAGAAAUAUGGAACAAACUUGAAGUUUUCUAUGAAGAGACAAAUCAAGUUAAAGAAUCUAAGAUUAGUAGAUAUACUCGACAAUAUGAAUUGUUCCAAAUGGAACAAAAUGAGACUGUGAAUUCUAUGUAUACUAUGUUUACGGAUAUUGUGAACACAUUAGGAGGCCUAGGAAAAACGUUUUCGAAUAGCGAAAAAGUUAAGAAAAUUAUUACGUCUUUACCAAUGGAAUAGAGAUCUAAGAGAAUCGUCAUAGAGAAAGCUAAAGAUUUAAACACUUUGCCUAUUGAUGAUUUAAUUAUUUCUCUUAUUUCAUAUGAGGAAGAUUUGGUAGUAGAAAAAGGCAAUGAAGAAAAGAAGAAGAAAAGUAUUGCACUUAAAGCAUUAAAAUAUGAGAGUAAUGAAGAAAGCAAGUUUGACGAUGAAGGCAUGGCUAUGAUGGCCAGGAGGUUUAGAAAAUUCUUCAAGAAAAUCGGUGAGCGGAAAAUAUUUAGAAACUAUAAGAACCAAAAGGAGAAGAAUGAGCCAAUUACUUGUUAUGAGUGCAGUUGGACACAUACGAUCAGAACGUCCUCUUCUCAACAAGCUAAAGAAGAAGACAAUGGUAGCCACAUAAGAUGACAGCGAUGGGGAAACAAGUGAUGAUGAAGAGGAACAAGAGAUGUCAAAUCUAGCUCUCAUGGCAAUUAGAGAUAAAUCAUUUGACGAACUUGAGGAAGUAAUGGAUCCUACCUAUGAUGAAUUAUGUGAUGCUUUUAAGGAAUUGCGUGAUGAUUGGUUAAAAAUUGGUAAAAAGAAUGCAUACUUUAAAAAGAAAAUGCUAGAACUUUCGAAUGAAAAGGAUGCCCUGCAAAAAUACAAUGAUUCAUUGAAUGAAAAGAUCAAGGGAUUGGAAUUAGAUAAUGAAAUGUUGCAUGAUAAGAUUGCAUCAUUUAAAGGUAAAAAAAAGUACUUUAUAUGAGCAUGAAAAAUCACAUCUUGAUGAAUUGAUAAAAGAAAAUAAAGUGCUUAAGAAAAAGAGCAAUGAACUCAAUUAAAUUUUAUUAAAAUUCACAAGUGGUCAAAAUAACUUAGAAAAAUUACUAAACUCUCAAAAAUGUGUAUUUGAUAAAGGAGAACUUGGGUAUAAGCCUAAGUUGAAGCAAAAGUAUUAUAAGAAUUACUUUGUUAAAGUUACCUCUACUAGUGAUUAUAAAAUUGUUUGUCAUUAUUGCAAUCAAAAUGGUUAUAUGAAAUAUAGAUUUUCAUUAAAAAGAAAUGCAUACCAUUGAGUCAACUGUGUUUGGAUUCCAAAAGGAACCAUUACUAACACUCAAGGACCCAAAAAGAUUUGGGUACCUAACGGUUAUAGAGUUAUCUUUGAUAAAUCAAAAUGUGUUAUUGAGAAUGCAUGUGAUGGCAAGAUUUUAUUUGCAGGAAAUAGAUGUGGUAAUGUUUAUACCAUUGAUAUAGAUUGUGCAUCCACUAAUGAUAAAUGUUACUCCGCAUUACAUGAUGAUGGUUGGUUAUGGCAUAGAAGACUAGGUCAUGCAAGUAUGGAUUUGAUUUCAAAAAUUUUGAAAAAUGAUUUGGUUAAAGGCCUUCCAAAAAUAGGUUUUUAAAAAGAUAGAAUUUGUGAAGCUUUCCAAUUUAGAAAACAAAUCAAAACUUCUUUAAAAAACAAGAACCAUAUCUCAACUUCAAAAUCACUUCAAUUACUUCAAAUGGAUUUAUUUGGACCUUUUAAAUAUGCUAGUUUAAGUGAUAAAUAUUAUGCAUUUAUGAUUGUGGAUAAUUUUUCUAGAUACACAAGGGUAUUAUUCUUAUCUAAUAAGGAUGAUGCCUUUGAUGCAUUUAGAUUUUUCUGCAAAAAAGUUCAAAAUGAAAAGGGAUAUGUUAUUUUUUGUAUUAGAAGUGAUCAUGGUGGAGAAUUUAAAAAUCAUGCAUUUGAGAAAUUUUGUAAUGAUUUUGACAUUAAUCAUCAAUUUUCAUCACAUAGAACUCCACAAAAAAUGGAGUUGUUGAAAGAAAGAAUAUGUAUAUUCAAGAAAUAGAUAGGACCAUGUUGAAUGAAAAUACAUUGUCUAAGUAAUUUUGGGCCGAAGCCGUCAACACUGCUUGCUAUAUUUUAAAGCGUGUGUUGAUUAGAUCUUAUCUCAAUAAGACUUCUAUGAGCAUUAGAAAGAUAGAAAACUCAAUAUGGAUUAUUUCAAAGUUUUUUGAUGAAAAUGUUUUAUUUUGAACAUGAAAGAUAAUCUUGGUAAAUUUGAUCCAAAAUCUGAUGUUGGUAUAUUUCUUGAUUAUUCAAACACAAGUAAAGCUUAUAGAGUAUAUAAUAAAAGAAUUUUAAUUGUGGAAGAAUCUAUGCAUGUUACAUUUAAUGAGUCUAGCCCUUCCUCUACGGAGAAAGUUGUUGUUGAUGAUGAUGCAUAUGAAAAGUUACAAGAAAAAUUAUCAAAAGAUAAAUAAGAGGAUGCACCACAUGAAAAUCAAAAGGAUAGACAAGAACAAAUAAAUAUGGAGCAACAAGAAGGUACUUCUCAAAUUGAAUACAUGUGAGCUUGAUGCAUUCAUAUCUCAAAUUGAACCAAGAUCAUUUGCGGAUGUGGAAAAUGAUGAAUCUUGCAUUAUGCCAAUGCAAAAGGAGUUGAAUCAAUUUGAGAGAAAUAAUGGAAUAUGGUUGUUAUGAGACACAGAAGUUCGUAGUAUGUUAUGAGACAUUUAAUCAUGGAAUAUGGCUACAAAAUUUUGUCACGGGGCUGUGUAUAGUAGAUGGUAUUGAUGGACCACUCAAUUUAUUUUUGACUAUAAAUUAGCAAUGCUAUAUUCCAACAACAAUAGGAUCUUAACGAAGUCAAAGUAUAUAUACAUCAAGUUCCUAAUUGUUAAAGAAAGAGUUUAGAGUGGAUAUUUUUGGGUAUUUUCUGUAGAAAUGCAUACCUCUAAGUUAUCUAUAGAGCACAUCAGUAUAAACUCCAUGAUUGCCACCAAAAUAUAUCAUGAGCACACUGCUCAUAUGUGUGUUGUGCCAUUAAAGAAACUUCAGUUUUUGUUGGAGUUUAUGAUUUGAGAUACUUUUACUAUAUAUACAUUUUUCAGUUAUUUCAAUUUAUGAAUAUUUCGAGUUAUUUUCUAUAAAAAUAAAGUUUUAUUUUAUUCACACUCUGAUUUUGAUAUAGUUUGAUCUUACUAAGGUUUAAGAUGAACUAGUUGGAUAUAGACAUGUUAAGAUCAAAUUGAAUGAAAUUUCUAUACUACAUAUCUACAUCAUGAUUCAUAUUAUUCAAUUAUAUUAUCAUAGUGACCAUUGAUAGGUUGAGUUACAGUAGUUGUAACAAAAGUCGCUUUGAUCUUAUGUUAGUAUGUUUAAUGGACUAAAUUAGUUAUAUAUACAUUUUGGUAAUGACAGUAAGGUUGAGCUCAUACAGUUAUCUUUUGUAAAGCAUAAUUAUAAGGUUACAAAUAUAGCUAAAGUGGGAGACUGUUGGAUCCUUAAUCCAACGUUUGGCUUAAACAUGAAUAAUUAUGUGUUACAAAUUAUCAUAUAAGGUUAAAUCCAAUUAAAAGUGAUAUAUUAAGGUUUUUGAUAAUCUGGGUUUUAAUGUAUCUGAUAGGGUGUGGACUUCUAAUGUGUAAAGACUUAAUGAUAAUUUCUAUUUCUACGAUAAAUUGAAAUAGGAAUACCUAAUGAUAACAGGAAAAGUUAUCUAUAUAAGUGGUUAUGGUCCCUAAUCACAUGUAUUGUUCUGUUUUCUACUGACAUUCCAUCAUCAAUGAAAAUGCAGAGAGAAGUUUAAAGAAUUCUCUAGGAGAAGGUGCGAUCUAAAAGACAAACCACAUGAUUCCAGAGAACAAUUAAGUAUUAUGGAUUCAGGUAUGCUUUCGUAUAUUUAUCUAUUGAUUCUUGGUGAUACAAUAUGAAUAUUCUGAGAAUUUAAGUGAUGGUUUUCACCAAAGGAUUUAUUGUUCUAAUAGAUUUAGUUUAAGUACUUAGAUGUACCAUUAAAGUUCAUAUACGCUUCAGGAAUUUCAAAGAUUUGGAACAAAAAAUUUUAGAUAGUGUACAAAACACACAAAAGAGUAUCAUAUCAUCUGAAGGUGGGAUUUUUGCUCACUCUUUUAUUUUUUGUGCAAAAUUUACUCAUUGAGACAUAUCAUUUCAAGGUUUUUGUUUUAUGCAAACAUAAUUUCCAUAUCCCACUCUUUACCAAAGUGUUAUUGUGAACAACUCAAGAGAUACAAUAUAAUGAAAGUUAUUUAAUUAUGUAAGUGGAAUUUGUUGUGGCAAUUGAGGUUUGGUGAGAAUGGGACUUGGUGCUAUAGGCUUGCACAUUAGGUUUGUUCGAAUGGAUAAUUUUCCUAUAAUAGGAUGAAAUGAUUAUUUUUGACAUAUGUAUAAUGACAACCCUUACAAUAUCGAUCUAAAUAUUAGGUGUCUUUCUUAAACAUGACAUAUUGGCAUUGCUAGUGGUAAAUAGGAUUUGCAACUGCUUUUCAUCAUAGCCUAUUAGCCUAUGUUUUUAUUUUUUUGUAUUUCUAUCACUUUAAGCUGCAAUUUUUUGUUGUUGUUUUUAUUGUUUUUGCCAAUUUAUGCUGUUACUUGAAAGAAAAGCAAGAAUUUUGUCAAUUCCUGAAAUUAGUGAAGUUUUCGAAUGGCUAUGCAUAAAAAAUUAGUAUAUGUGUAAAUGUUAAUAAUUGUAAGUUGUUUGGUUUAAAAAUCCAUGAUCGUUAUGUUUUAUUCGAGUAACUACUUCCAAUUGGGAUAUGCCCAUUUAAAAAAGGAAGUGUGUAUUGGCAAUUAUGUGUGAAAACAAUGAUUGAAGAAACCUUUGUGGGAAAAAAGGAAUCAUCUUGAUACUUUACAAGUUCAAGCGUAUUUCUCCCCAUCAUUUUUUGACAUAAUAGUACACUGAACUGUACAUUUAACUGGAGAAGCAAAAUACAGUGGUCUAGUUGUCUUUAGAUGGAUGUAUCCAAUUGAAAGGUAUUUAUUCUGUUAUAAUUUUCAUUUUCACACAUGUCAUCAUAGUAUUUAAUUUUAUCUAACCAAUAUAACUUUGAAUAUUAACAGAAAUUUGGGUAAAUAUAAGAAAUAUGUCAAGAACAAACUCGUGCGGAUGGAUCAAUUGCGGAAGGCAAUAUUGUUAAUAAGGCAUUGACUUUUGUUUAAUGUAUUUCAAUGAAAUUGAAACAAAAUUUACCCCACCUCAGUGAAAUCUUAAUGGUGGGGAUUGAGGGUUGAAUUUUCAAUUUUAUUACAAAAAGCUUGACCAUUUCAGCCAAUUAAAUUUAAAGAAUUAUCACAAGAUGAUAAUGAUAAAACUCAUUCGUUUCUACUACACAAUUUUGAUGAAGUACAACCAUACUUAAAGUGAAGUACUCUCUUUAGCAUUUGUGCUUACUAAUAGAAUUUAGUUUAAGUAUAUUAACAAUUAUUAGUUAUUGUAAUGAACAUUUGAGACUGAUGGAAAUGGAAGGGAAAACAAAUUUGUUUGAAAUUCAACAAAAACUAUUUUAAAAUGGUUUGUGUCAAGUGUAAGUGUUUUCCUUAAUAUAAAAUAUUAUUUAUUUACUAUAAAGUAUUGGUUCUUUACUAUAAAAUAUUAAUUAAUAUUAGUGUGAUCAAGAUUUGAUACAUGUGUUUUUUUGCUUGGGUGAGAGAAGUGUGUCUUCAAGGAUCCUUGGAUGAUGAACACCUAUUGUGUUCAUUGGCAUUUGCGCGAGAUGUCAAAAUAUAUAACUAUUUGGGUUGUAAUGUAAAUGGUGUACGUUUUCUUAUAAAUGAAAGUGAUGAUCGUCGUACGACCCAAAAUAGUGGAGUACUUGUUUCUGGUUCACACAAUGAUGAUGUGAUUGAUUUCUUGGGAGUUUUAAUGAUGUCGUUGAGUUAGUAUAUUUGUCAUGGCGUCGGGUUGUAAAGAUUAUCAUCUGAAGAAGAAAAUAGUACAUAAAGAUUAUCAUCUUACAUCAAUCAAUGUUACUCAAACAUGGUAUGACGAAGGUAGAUUUGUACUAGCAACUCAAGCACAAUUGGUAAUGUAUAUUAAUAAACCUACAAUUAGUAAAAAGUGCAAUGCAGUGGAAAAUAUAAAUUAAAGAGGUGUGUGGGAUAUCCAAGAGAAAAAUGAAGGGAAUGAUGACAAUAUUGAUCAUGAUGUAUAUCAAUAGGAUGAGGACCAAUCUACUAACGCAAAUGGUUAUAUUGUUUUAAUGUUGUAACCGGAUAGUUUUGGUGAAAAAUCAUUCAGUAGGGAUGAUGUUGCUGCAAAUUUAAUUGAUGCCAAAAUUGUGCAAAAAUCUCUAUGUGAUGAUGAAUUUGUUAAAGUCAUUUUGGAUGAUGGUGAUUAAAUUAUUGCAAAUUGUGAACUUGUAUAAGAUUUGGAUGACUCUUAUUUGGACUAAAACAAACCUAAAGUAUAUAGGGUAUUUAAUUUCAUACUUAUUUUCAUUGUUGAAUUAAUCUAAUGUGGUUAAUUACUAAUUUUCUUAUAGCCUUUUUUAUUUUAUUAUUUUCUUUAAUUUAUUACAAUCUAAUUUAUUUUUAAAUAAUAUAUUCUAUCUUUCAAAUGGCUCCAGUUUAUGUAACUUCUUCUGCACAGAGUACUCCAACUUUGCAUGAUAACACAAUUCCUCACACUAUAGAAGAAUUGCAAGAUAUUUGAAGUAGUGUAGGUAACAAAUUAUAAACUUGAACUAUAUGUUGUCUAAUUUAUUCUAUUGAUUAAUUGAUGAAUUUUUUUUAUCUUGGUUUGAUAGAGCAACUUUGAGGUUAUUGAUAUUGAAAUCUAUUGUAAUUGAUUAAUUUUCUACUUGCAAUUCGAAAUCAGCUCAAAUUCCUAUUAAUAUUUCCUUAACUAUUAUCUUUGUAUGAUUAGUGUUCUGUUUUAUUAUGUGAUUUCUUCUUUAUAUAUGUUCAACUCUAAAGGUGCAAAGUUCUCAAGGCCUUACUUGAUAUAAUGGCUAUGGUGAGGUUAAAGGGCCGAAUAGUUAUCAUCAUCUCACCAAUUACGAAUGAACAAGAAGGAAAUAUUAUAAAGAAUUGAUUAACAAUUGUGGUACAAUCGUUUAAACUUGUGCUCCAGUUCGUGUAGUGUCAUGGUUGAAGAUUCCUUGGGAUGGAAAGGUAGAUUUAUUCAAAUAUUUACAUGUAUAUAAACUUUCUUAACAACAAUAUUACAAUUGACAUGUUUGUUACAAUCACAUAUUAAUAAUCUUUGGCUUGCUUUUAUUCAUUGAUGCAGGAGUUGUUUAAUUUAGACCUUUAUCAAAUGCAUGUUUUGUGCUAUUUGAACAAAAUAAUGGGCAAACGAUAUGUUGAUUAUCGAUACAAGACAUUGAGUAAGGCCUCCAAGUGAGGCACUACACAUCUACCAAAAGUUGUCAAACAAGAGGAUUGGGACAAAUUAUGUGAUCUUUGGGGGAAUAAGACUCAUGAGGUAUGUACUAAGUAAAAACUAUUUAUCAUAUGCUUUUAGAACUUUUAAAUUGUAUUUUGUUUAUAAAAAAAAAAGAAAGCGAAGGAAUACUAUUUGAUGGUAGGAAACUUUUAAAAGUUUGUGUUGUGGAGAAAGUUGAAGAAUUAUUAUUUUUGUUGAAGAAAAAGUAUAAUGAAAAAAUACUUUCAUGUUGGUUUUAUUGCAAGAGAGAAAAACCAUAGAUAUGUUACUUCUUAUAACAUACUUAGUCUUUUUCACUAGAAGCUAUGUCAUUCUCUCUUUCUUUUUUUAAUCAAAUUUGUUUCCCUUAUUGUUUCAACAACAAUUGCAACUAACCCUUACUAUUUUGGAUAAAGCUUGUGUUACAAGUUAAUGGUAAAUUAAUUAAGUGAUUUUUUUUAUAGUAACUGAUUGAAACUUAAUUUGAAUAAUGAAAGGAUGAAAGCAUGAAAGGGUGCAUGAGGCUCCAGAUAUGAUUUUUUUAAAUUAAGCUGAAGCAGUUGAUUUGAAAAAUUUUAUUUGAAGUGCAGAAAGUGUGUAAUAUAUUUUGUUAGAUUUUGAUAAAUUGGAACUUAUAUUUCAGGGGAGGUCAUGCCAAAAAUUUUCUAGAAAUUUAUGACAUCUUGCAUAUUAGCCGCUUUAAUUCAUUUAUUAGCGAAUUUUGAUCUAACAUAUUUUUGUGGUUGUGUGUGAUCCAUUUGUUGAUAUAUAGAGAUUGAAUGCAUCUAGCGAAAUAGGGGAUAUUCUGUUGAAAUUUUGUAAGGAUACUUUUUAGAUUUUAAUUUUCAUUUAUUUAACAUGAAAAAUGUUAUUUUGUGCAAUUAUUUUUUUAAAAAAAUGCACAAAAAAAGAGUACUUCCUUUCGAUCAUUGUGGGGAUCAAGAUCAUUUAAUCAUCAUGAGAAGGUGUAAUGGCUUUUACUUUUGUAAGGGAUCUUGAUAAUUGUGGGGAUCAAGAUCACAAAAGAAAGAGUCUGCUGGGUGUGUAAACAAUCAGGGCUUCUUAAAAGGGAUUGUUGGAAAGUAAAUGGAGCAAGCUCAGCAAGUGGCUCCAAGUCAGUAUAUGAAGAUACUGAUAGUAUCACUAGCGGAAAGUCUUUCAACAUUAUGGGAGAUGAUGAUUCCCUAUAAUAGAUGAUGAAAAUAUCCUCAUUGUAAGCCCCUAGUGCCAUGGAAGAUAAUGCUUACUGCUAGUGGGUCCACAAGAUUUGCAUACAAGGCAUGUUUGGCAUUUAUGCAAGGUGUGUGGUGAAUUUUUUUUUUUUUGUCAAUGGCUGAGGACUCUCAAGGAAGCCAAACAUGAGAGUGAGUAUUUUCAGUAAGGUGAUCGACAUGUGUUGAAUAUAUGUACUCUGGAUAAGGUAGAGUAUAAUGAUUCUUGGUGUAGAGAAUUAUGGCUGCUGAAUAGAAAACAAGAUUGUAACCAUGAUGGAGUGAUUCUCAUAAGCCCUAUAUGAGUGUAGUUUUGGUGGAGCAAAGAAGGUGGACAUGACAUGGUUGUGUGGAUACAUAAUGGAUCAUGUUUUAUCACCUAAUUGAAAAACUCGCCAAGGUGGAGAAUGUUAGGGAAUAUGUCUUAUUUUUCAACAAGACAUUUCCUAGGAUAUUUUCCUCUUUAGUAGGAUUCCUAUUUAAAGAAUAUGUAAUUUACCCUUUGGGACUUGACUUAUUCAAGGAAGAAUGCUACUAAAUAAGAAAAAGUAUACUUAUCCUACAAGAAAUAAUCAUUAUCUAAGGAGGUUGAGUUUACUUAUUUACAUAACACAAUAAUAAGUUCUCUGCAUGUAGACAGUUUCUAGUGUGAGAGAAACGAUAGAUCUAUUGAGAGAUUGGGUGUUAUUAGGAUUUUGGGUAUGAGAAGAAUACUAGAGUGAUUAUAAUAAUUUUUCACAUGGUAGAUUUUUCUCCAUUCAUCCUUGGCGGCCGUGGUUUUUCUCCAGUAUAGGAGUUUUCCAUGUAAAUUCUUGUGUUGUGUGUUUGGUUUUAUUCUCAUCUAUUUUUCUAUUUAUUAUUUAUUUGAUAUUUUUUCUUGCAAGAUCUUGGGCGGGAUUAAAAUUCCCUAACAUCUUUGAACUUAGGAGCAAGGCCCGACUAAGCACGCAAACGAAUUUCAUUGUGUAUUCAAUGAAAUUUGGGAGCUAUUUAUUCAGAAUGUGAGGGAGAAAAGGUGAUCUUGAAAUUAAUUAAUUCAUUAAGAUGUGAUUAUAUAAAGAUCAUAAUUACAAGUUCACACUCACAUCACAAGCAUGCAUAUCAUAAUGCGGAUCAAUUAGUUAAUCAUAACCCAGUUAAUGAAAUUAAUCUAUUGAUAUCAUGGUUGUUUGGCAAAUGAGAAAAUGAAGGAAAGUGAAAGAAAUUGAGAGAUAAAACAUGGAAGUUAAAGCUAUAAUUAUGGAUAUUUUAUUUAUUUCAAGUUAAAAUAGGCACUUUAACUGAAAUGGGCAUUUCAAUCAUUUCAUCAAAUAAACAAAGGGUGUAAUUAAAUUUUUAUAUUGUCGAGGUGGUCAAUGGUUAAAUUAAUAAAAAUUCUAAUGAUUGAGGAUGAAAUAAUGACUUUUUAAUUUAUUGAAAGUGAAGGAAUAAGUGUUAAUUUAUUUAGUAUGCAAUCAAAUUUAUCCGAUGAUAAAUUAUGAUUAGUAAAUAACAUAUAGAUUUAUUAUAUAAUAAAGUUAAUUAUUAAUAUAUAUUAUUGCAAGUUUAAAAAUAAACUAUUUUACCAGUCAAACAAGAUCAAUGGAUUUAAUUAUAAAAAUUUAAAACGAUUUAGAAUCAUGUGUCAAAAUAUUGAAACUUUGUCAUUUUCUUAAUUUGGAAACAAACGGGAGGGAUUGGAGAGUUAAUAACUCAGAAAAUUCAUCUAAAUCGUUGAAAUACUUUUACAUUAAAUCAAAUGGUUGAUAAUAAUUAUUUAAUAGUUGAUAAUAAUUGAUAAGAAAAGGACAAAAUAUGGGGUUUGGUGUCAAAGAGGCACCAUAGCCUUAUUUCUUAUUACUUGGAGGUUGUUAUGGAAAAACGUAAGAUGUGUAUUGCUAAAUGUUGACAUAAAUUUAAUGAGCUAAAACGAUGAAUGAUGAUAAUUCUUGGUUCUUCAAUGCAAGCAAACCUUAAAUUUAAGGGUGCGUUUAAUAUUGUUUUUGAAAUGAUGUUUUAGUAUUUUUUUUAUAGAAUAGAUUUGAUUAGUUUUUUAUGAAGGUGAAAACAUAUUUGGUACUUUAUAUUAAUAGUAA
rnacentral:lncRNA from 1 species